GACGAACGCUGGCGGCGUGCUUAACACAUGCAAGUCGAACGGAAAGGCCCUGCUUUUGUGGGGUGCUCGAGUGGCGAACGGGUGAGUAACACGUGAGUAACCUGCCCUUGACUUUGGGAUAACUUCAGGAAACUGGGGCUAAUACCGGAUAGGAGCUCCUGCUGCAUGGUGGGGGUUGGAAAGUUUCGGCGGUUGGGGAUGGACUCGCGGCUUAUCAGCUUGUUGGUGGGGUAGUGGCUUACCAAGGCUUUGACGGGUAGCCGGCCUGAGAGGGUGACCGGCCACAUUGGGACUGAGAUACGGCCCAGACCCCUACGGGGGGCAGGAGGGGGGAAUAUUGCAAAAGGGGCGGAAGCCUGAUGCAGCAACGCCGGGUGCGGGAUGACGGCCUUCGGGUUGGAAACCGCUUUCGCCUGUGACGAAGGGUGAGGGACGGUAAUGGGUAAAAAAGCACCGGCUAACUACGU
rnacentral:rRNA from 1 species